rnacentral:rRNA from 1 species
AGCGAACGCUGGCGGCAGGCUUAACACAUGCAAGUCGAGCGGGCACUUUCGGGUGUCAGCGGCGGACGGGUGAGUAACGCGUGGGAACGUGCCCUCUGGUUCGGAAUAACUCAGGGAAACUUGAGCUAAUACCGGAUACGCCCUUUUGGGGAAAGGCUUGCUGCCGGAGGAUCGGCCCGCGUCUGAUUAGCUAGUUGGUGAGGUAACGGCUCACCAAGGCGACGAUCAGUAGCUGGUCUGAGAGGAUGAUCAGCCACACUGGGACUGAGACACGGCCCAGACUCCUACGGGAGGCAGCAGUGGGGAAUAUUGGACAAUGGGCGCAAGCCUGAUCCAGCCAUGCCACGUGAGUGAUGAAGGCCUUAGGGUUGUAAAGCUCUUUUAUCCGGGACGAUAAUGACGGUACCGGAGGAAUAAGCCCCGGCUAACUUCGUG